rnacentral:rRNA from 1 species
AACGAGCGCUGGCGGCAGGCUUAACACAUGCAAGUCGAGCGCCCCGCAAGGGGAGCGGCAGACGGGUGAGUAACGCGUGGGAACGUACCUUUUGGUUCGGAACAACUCCGGGAAACUGGAGCUAAUACCGGAUAAGCCCUAACGGGGAAAGAUUUAUCGCCGAAAGAUCGGCCCGCGUCUGAUUAGCUAGUUGGUGAGGUAACGGCUCACCAAGGCGACGAUCAGUAGCUGGUCUGAGAGGAUGAUCAGCCACACUGGGACUGAGACACGGCCCAGACUCCUACGGGAGGCAGCAGUGGGGAAUAUUGGACAAUGGGCGCAAGCCUGAUCCAGCCAUGCCGCGUGAGUGAUGAAGGCCUUAGGGUUGUAAAGCUCUUUUGUCCGGGAAGAUAAUGACUGUACCGGAAGAAUAAGCCCCGGCUAACUUCGUG